AUUGGUCGAGUCCGGUCCGACUUGGCCGAUCCGGAACUGUUCCGGUUCAACACAAAAAUCCGAUUUUUUACAUAGGGUUUUCAAUCCACACAAAUCUUAUCUAAAACUCAUUCUUAUUCAUUCCAUUACCUAUUAUGUCUCUGUCGCUGGCUUCUGCUCUAUGUUCCUGGCGGUGGACGAAAAAUAAUUGCUCUGGCUUCUGCUCACUGUUCCUGGCGGUGGAUGAAAAAUAAUUGUUGUUGGUGAACAAGAAAAAAACUCAGCUUCGGCAGGUAUAUGAGAUUUGGGAAGGAAGAACUGGAGAUUCACCGUGGAAGAAAGGCUGGAGACUCGCCGUGGAAGAAAGACGUGUGGGCAGCAGCGUAGACAUUCUGUAUCCGGAGAUCUACGAAGUUUGAAUUUUAAAGCAGGAGGAAGCAGUUCGAAUAAAAAAAGAAGUAAAAGAAAUUUUUUCGAAAGCUCUACGAGAAAGACAGGAGGUUUGCAUAAAAAAAAGCUUGAUCCAUUCACAUUUCAAUUGAAGAAUAAGUCUUUGAAAAGUAUGUUUUUAAAAGAUAAUGUGAAAAAGGUGGGUAAGGCAAUUUCGAAUUUUUUUCAUUUUAAUGCUAUACCAUUUCAUGCUGCCGAUAGGGGUUCUUACUAUCAAACAAUGAUUGACACGAUUGCAUCCGCUGGACCUGAAUUUAAAGGGCCUGCUGGUAAGAACAUUUGGAGUGAAUAUUUGAACUAGGAGAUGCAAGAAGUUCUACAAUAUGUUGAUUCUUUAAAGGAGAAAUGGAAAACACAUGGAUGUACAAUUAUGUGUGAUGGUUGGAGUACUCGCACAAAACAUCCAAUCAUAAAUUUUAUGGUGUACUGUGACAGAGAUAUGAUAUAUCACAGUUCGUUCGACUAUAUGAAUAAGGUAAAGACUUCAGACUUUGUCUACACCCUAAUGGACAAGGUUGUGGAUUCAUUAGGGGUUGACAAUAUUGUACAAAUCGUAACUAAUAGUGAAGCUAGUAUGAAGGCUGCUGGGAAAAAACUGAUAAGGAAAAGGAAACAUAUUUUUUUGUCUUCAUGCGCUGCGCAUUGCAUUGAUUUGAUGUUAGAAGACAUCGAAGACAUAUUUUUAGUAAAGGAUACGAUAAAAGAAGCCAGAAGAAUUACAGGAUUUAUAUACAACAGUGAUAAAGUGGUCAAUUUGAUGAAAAUAUAUACGAAUGAUUGAGACCUAUUGCGACCAGGCAUAACAAGAUUUGCAACCGAGUUUGUUGCAAUGGAAAGUCUUCUAAGAUACGCAACUGACUUGAAAAGAAUGUGUACUUCUAGAGAAUGGGUUGAGUACAAUAAUACCUCAAGAAGAAGACAUGAAGCUGGAGAUAUAUCAAACAUGAUUUUGAAUGAAAGAUUUUGGAAACGGGUACGCCGAGUUUGUGGGAUCAUGGAACCUUUGGUGAAGGUUUUAAAAGUAGUUGAUCAAAAUAAAAUAAAACCUACACUACCUAUCAUUUAUGAGGCAAUGGAUAGGAUAAAAAUGGCAAUUAAAACCGCAGUGAAAGAUUUUUAACAAUAUUGGGAUAUCAUCGAUGAAAGAUGGUAUAACUAAUUGCAUCAAGAUUUGCAUGUUGCAGUCUUCAAUACUCUGGCACUUGUGCAUUUGAUUCAUCGGAGGUUUGAAAAGAAGUAAAAGAAGUUAUUAAAAGACUCGAGCCAGAUUUGGAUGUACAAGUAAAGGCUAUGAAUGAGAUAAAUACAUUUGUUAACAAAAUUGGAUAAUUUGGAAGUGCACUUGCUACUAGAGUUGUAGCUACAUCUUUACCAGCUGACUGGUGGAAUAUGUAUGGUGAUGAAGCCCCUAAUUUACGGGAAAUUGCAUUAAAAGUUUUGAGUCAAACAUGCACAUCAUCUGGUUGUGAGCGCAAUUGGAGUACGUGGUCUUUGAUCCAUACUAAACUUCGGAAUAUAUUAGCUAUUGUGAAACUGCAUAAGCUAGUCUAUGUCCACUACAACAUGUGUCUUCGGGUGAAAAAUUUUAUGCAAAGGAUAGACACAGAUGAUUUCUACGACCCGAUUGAUUUGAGUCAUAUUUUUAAUGAAAAUGAUAUUUUAGAUGAAUGGGUCAGAGAAAAUGAAUCUCCACUUAUUCAUGAUAGUGAUUUGAAUUGGUUGGAUGAGGCUAUUGAUAAAAGUGGAGAUGGAAGUGACAGUCAGUGUAAUUGAUCAUGACAACGAUAUGUUUUUAUCUCAGUUUAUAGCCGAUGGAAAAAUGAAGGCCAAAAAGAAAAAAUCAGAAAAAAAAAUAUGAGCAAGAAAAAAAAAACAAUCACAUUGAAAUCUUCAUCUUCAACAACUAACGGUGAAGAUAAGAAUAAUAACAACGAUGAUGAUGAUGAUGGUAGUGGUGGUGGUGGUGGUGGUGGGAGUGGGAGCUAUAGGGAUAGUCGAUACUCAAGUGAUAUGGGAUGGGCUCAAGGAAAUGAAAAUUAUUAUACUACUCAAGACAAUGAUCAUGGAUAUCGUCCUGGGAUAAAAGCUCAAAGAGAUUUUCUAAAUAGUUUAACAGAAUUUUCAAGUGAAGCUGAUACUUCAAAUUUUUAAGUUACUAGGAGAUAUUCUGGAGAUCACGAACAUAUGCAAGACUUGAAUAUAGGUUCUUCCUAUGGAGAUUCUUCCCACAAUUCGAGUAAUAGAUUGGGGAGACAGGAGUGGGACCAACGAAAUUCAUAUCAUCAUCCCUAUUACCCAUGAUACGGUUUAUCUAAUCUACCAAGAUAUCUUCAAGAUUCAGCCAAUCUUCCUAUCUUUGGAUCCAACCAACCGGUUGGAACAUAUUAUGAAGGGAUUACAUCUGGUUCGGGUAGUAUUGAUGAUCGUAGACAGAAUUAUGUUUCAUCAAGCAGAAGCAAUGAUAGUACAGAAUAUCAAGGUUUUGAUGUAUGUGGAAAGGGUUCAUUUAGAGAAUGAUAUUCAUACUAUGGUCGAUCAGGAGAUGGAAAUGGUUUUGAAGCUCCAUGACACUCCACAAGGUAUUGAAUGGGACUGUUAAUUUCAGGGGACAGCCAUGGAAUGAUCUAGAAUGGUGGAAAUUUUGUGUUGGGUUUCAAUGUAACAAUCUUAAGCUUUGGAAUAUUUAUCUAGAUGAAGUCAGUUGCUAUUUUUUUGUUAAAAAAUUUGACACUUAGCAUUCAUGUUGUUGGUCUUUGAUGCAGUGCAUCUUUGAAGGCUUAUGCACAUGAUGAGACUUCAAACAACCUAUACAGAGUCUUUGUUGUAGUUUUUCAUGGGCAUGGAGAUAUUUGCAUUGUUACGUUGGCAUUUAGAUAUUUGCAUUGUUAUGUUUUUUAUAUACUAGAACUUAUGGAGUGUAUGUCGUGUUGUCUAAUAUUUUGUUGUAUACGGUGGAAUUGCAAACAAAAAAUUUUCAUCAGUUUGAGAGGCUAAUUUGAGACAUGCAGCCUCCGUGGUUAUUUUCUUUAAUAUUAUAUAUUUUAAAAAAUAAUUAUGUUUAUGAUUUGAUGAAUUUUAAUUGGUUAUUAUUAUUUUGUUAAAAAUACAAAUUUUUGUAAAAAAAAAUCAUAUGGGCCCAUAUUUGCCUGAGACGCCGCGAGCUAUACUCCGCGACGUAUGUAAAACGAUAAGGGUCGAUCCGCGACAGCGAACCAUCGUCAUAAUCCUUCUUACAUUGGAUCCUCCAUUACAUCCCAUUCUCUCCUCUCCUCUCCUUGCGAGAUUUCUUUCAUUCGUCUUUUUUUAUGUGACCGAAUAAUUCCCUCUCGCGGUUUCCGUUGCCUCUCCGUCGCGUCUUGGACGCCUCGGCCUCGAUCGCCACUGCGUGUUCAGAUCUAUUUUGGCGACAUUGAAGCAAUUAGGAGCGAGCAAGGGCCUUGUUCGACGAAUGUGAUUCAAAAUCUCCCGGGGCAGACGAGAACCAUUAGGGAGCCGUGCGUUCAUGAACUCAAACCUCCGUCGUCCAAAUGCAAAUGCAAGCGCCGGUCCUUCACUCAGAU